rnacentral:rRNA from 1 species
UACGGAGAGUGCGAACGUUGUUCGGAUUCACUGGGCGUAAAGGGCACGUAGGCGGCUCGGCAAAUCGGUCGUGGAAUCCCGACGCUUACCGUCGGAACGGCGGCCGAAACUACCGAGCUCGAGGGCGGGAGGGGUCACUGGAACUCCUGGUGAAGCGGUGAAAUGCGUAGAUAUCAGGAGGAACGCCGGAGGCGAAAGCGAGUGACUGGCGCGUUACUGACGCUGAGGUGCGAAAGCUAGGGGAGCAAACAGG